rnacentral:rRNA from 1 species
CAGUUAAAAAGCUCGUAGUUGGAUUUCUGCGGGGGCGGGGCGGCCGGUUGCUUAUAGCAACUCGAGCUAGCACCUCCCCCGCAUCCUGCCGCGAACCGUGCUACCAUUAGUUUGGUGGCGCUGGGGAUCGGCUCGUUUACUUUGAGAAAAAUAGAGUGUUCAAAGCAGGCCACACGCCUUGAAUAAGUUAGCAUGGAAUAAUGAUAAAGGACUUCGGUUCUAUUUUGUUGGUGUUCGGGACUGAAGUAAUGAUUGAUAGGGACAGUUGGGGCGGUCAGUAUUCCAAAGCGAGAGGUGAAAUUCUUAGACCUUCGGAAGACUAACAGCUGCGAAAGCGUUCCGCAAGGAUGUUCCCUUUGAUCAAGAACGAAAGUUGGGGGAUCGAAGACGAUCAGAUACCGUCGUAGUCUCAACUAUAAAACUAUACCAGCUAGGGAUCCGGCCGACGUUUACUUAUAUCGACUCGGUCGGCACCUUAUGAGAAAAUCCAAGCAUCUGGGU